rnacentral:rRNA from 1 species
CCUACGGGUGGCAGCAGUGAGGAAUAUUGGUCAAUGGCCGGAAGGCUGAACCAGCCAAGCCGCGUGAAGGACGAAGGUGCCAAGCAUUGUAAACUUCUUUUGUCAAGGGACAAAAUCAGGCUCGAGAGCCUGACCGAGUGUACUUGAAGAAAAAGCAUCGGCUAACUCCGUGCCAGCAGCCGCGGUAAUACGGAGGAUGCGAGCGUUAUCCGGAUUUAUUGGGUUUAAAGGGUGCGUAGGCGGAUUGUUAAGUCAGCGGUAAAAGCCCGGGGCGCAACCCCGCCGAGCCGUUGAAACUGGGGGUCUUGAGAAGUCGAGAGGUAUGUGGAAUGCGCAGUGUAGCGGUGAAAUGCUUAGAUAUUGCGAAGAACUCCGAUUGCGAAGGCAGCAUACCGGCGGCGAUCUGACGCUGAGGCACGAAAGCGUGGGUAUCGAACAGGAUUAGAUACCCUUGUAGUC